UUUCCGUAGGUGAACCUGCGGAAGGAUCAUUGUCGAAGCCUGCCCAGCAGAACGACCCGCGAACUUGUAUAAACAACCGGGGGCAGGGGCGAUCUCGCCCCGUGCCCUCGAACGGCAGGGAGACACUCGUGCCUUCUUGUCGAACAACGAACCCCGGCGCGGUCCGCGCCAAGGAACUUCAAUUAAAGAGUGCCUCCGGUCGCCUCGGAAACGAUGCGCGUGUCGGAGGCGAAUCUUGUACAAAACCAUAACGACUCUCGGCAACGGAUAUCUCGGCUCUC
rnacentral:misc_RNA from 1 species